rnacentral:rRNA from 1 species
CAACGUGGGUAACCUGCCCAAGAGACUGGGAUAACACCUGGAAACAGAUGCUAAUACCGGAUAACAACACUAGACGCAUGUCUAGAGUUUAAAAGAUGGUUCUGCUAUCACUCUUGGAUGGACCUGCGGUGCAUUAGCUAGUUGGUAAGGUAACGGCUUACCAAGGCAAUGAUGCAUAGCCGAGUUGAGAGACUGAUCGGCCACAUUGGGACUGAGACACGGCCCAAACUCCUACGGAAGGCAGCAG